rnacentral:rRNA from 1 species
AUGAACGCUGGCGGCGUGCCUAAUACAUGCAAGUCGAGCGAACAGAUAAGGAGCUUGCUCCUUUGACGUUAGCGGCGGACGGGUGAGUAACACGUGGGUAACCUACCUAUAAGACUGGGAUAACUUCGGGAAACCGGAGCUAAUACCGGAUAACAUUUGGAACCGCAUGGUUCUAAAGUGAAAGAUGGUUUUGCUAUCACUUAUAGAUGGACCCGCGCCGUAUUAGCUAGUUGGUAAGGUAACGGCUACCAAGGCAACGAUACGUAGCCGACCUGAGAGGGUGAUCGGCCACACUGGAACUGAGACACGGUCCAGACUCCUACGGGAGGCAGCAGUAGGGAAUCUUCCGCAAUGGGCGAAAGCCUGACGGAGCAACGCCGCGUGAGUGAUGAAGGGUUUCGGCUCGUAAAACUCUGUUAUUAGGGAAGAACAAACGUGUAAGUAACUGUGCACGUCUUGACGGUACCUAAUCAGAAAGCCACGGCUAACUACGUG